CCCACCGCUUACGCGGUGGGCUAUUACGUGGCGUCGCUUCGCGACU
rnacentral:ncRNA from 1 species